rnacentral:lncRNA from 1 species
GAAACGUUUUAAGCUUUUACAAUCUUAAUUUAAGGUAGAUGACAAAUUUACAGACCGUUAAUCGUCCGUUUUUCUUAUUGAAGUAUUGACCACUUCCGUAAAUCAUUCAAUUAUAUUUAUAAUAUCGAUGAGUUGUAACACAGUGCGAGUGAUAAUAUAAAGUGCUAUUAUGAACACUUCCCACAUCAACUUCAUCUUUCGUGGAUUUGUUUCAUUUACAUGUAAUUAUUCAACCCAAAAAUUAUUGCAUAUGAUCACAUCAUAUAAAAUAUUUCAGUAAAUAAGUUGAUGCAGUGUGACCGUAAAACUAUGGGGAUAAUGUGCUUUCAUUUAACAAGCG